rnacentral:lncRNA from 1 species
UAGCACUGAACUUCACUCAGGUCACUGAAGAGUGAUGUCACUGUUCUCAUCGAUUUUCAGUGCUAAGCUGAAACAUAACCUCCUGGAAGACCAGGCAUCGGAAAAGCGCCUUCCCCAGUUCUCCACCUCCCUCACCCAGAACCGGUGUAUUCAACAGGCAGCGUUCCAAGGGCAGCAGGGCCAGCUGUGGCAGCUUACAUCACAAAAGGGCACAAUAUCC